rnacentral:misc_RNA from 1 species
UACGGAGGGGGCAAGCGUUGGGCGGAAUUAUUGGGCGUAAAGCGCGCGCAGGCGGUUCGUUAAGUCUGAUGUGAAAGCCCACGGCUUAACCGUGGAGGGUCAUUGGAAACUGGGGAACUUGAGUACAGAAGAGGAGAGCGGAAUUCAACGUGUAGCGGUGAAAUGCGUAGAUAUGUGGAGGAACACCAGUGGCGAAGGCGGCUCUCUGGUCUGUAACUGACGCUGAGGCGCGAAAGCGUGGGGAGCGAACAGG